GCUGGGUGCGGUGGUGCAUGCCUGUAGUCCCAGCUACUCAGGAGGCUGAGGCAGGAUAGCAAGUUCAAGUCCAGGCUGGACAACUUAGCAAGACCCUGUCUCAA
rnacentral:sRNA from 1 species